rnacentral:tRNA from 1 species
GGGGGAUUAGCUCAGUUGGGAGAGCGCUUGCAUGGCAUGCAAGAGGUGAGCGGUUCGAGCCCGCUAUCCUCCA